CCAGGUUGGCUGAUAAGACAUGUUGCCAUGUUGGCUGAUAAGACAUGUUGCCAGGUUGGCUGAUAAGACAUGUUGCCAGGUUGGCUGAUAAGACAUGUUGCCAGGUUGGCUGAUAAGACAUGUUGCCAGGUUGGCUGAUAAGACAUGUUGCCAGGUUGGCUGAUAAGACAUGUUGCCAGGUUGGCUGAUAAGACAUGUUGCCAGGUUGGCUGAUAAGACAUGUUGCCAGGUUGGCUGAUAAGACAUGUUGCCAGGUUGGCUGAUAAGACAUGUUGCCAGGUUGGCUGAUAAGACAUGUUGCCAGGUUGGCUGAUAAGACAUGUUGCCAGGUUGGCUGAUAAGACAUGUUGCCAGGUUGGCUGAUAAGACAUGUUGCCAGGUUGGCUGAUAAGUCAUGUUGCCAGGUUGGCUG